GGGCCCGCACAAGCGGUGGAGCAUGUGGUUUAAUUCGAUGCAACGCGAAGAACCUUACCUACUCUUGACAUCCAGAGAACUUUUCAGAGAUGAAUUGGUGCCUUCGGGAACUCUGAGACAGGUGCUGCAUGGCUGUCGUCAGCUCGUGUUGUGAAAAUGUUGGGUUAAGUCCCGCAACGAGCGCAACCCUUAUCCUUGUUUGCCAGCGAGUAAUGUCGGGAACUCCAGGGAGACUGCCGGUGAUAAACCGGAGGAAGGUGGGGACGACGUCAAGUCAUCAUGGCCCUUACGAGUAGGGCUACACACGUGCUACAAUGGCGCAUACAGAGGGCAGCCAACUUGCGAGAGUGAG
rnacentral:rRNA from 1 species